GAUGAACGCUGGCGGCGUGCCUAAUACAUGCAAGUCGAGCGAACAGACGAGGAGCUUGCUCCUCUGACGUUAGCGGCGGACGGGUGAGUAACACGUGGAUAACCUACCUAUAAGACUGGGAUAACUUCGGGAAACCGGAGCUAAUACCGGAUAAUAUAUUGAACCGCAUGGUUCAAUAGUGAAAGACGGUUUUGCUGUCACUUAUAGAUGGAUCCGCGCCGCAUUAGCUAGUUGGUAAGGUAACGGCUUACCAAGGCAACGAUGCGUAGCCGACCUGAGAGGAUGAUCGGCCACACUGGAACUGAAACACGGUCCAGACUCCUACGGGAGGCAGCAGUAGGGAAUCUUCCGCAAUGGGCGAAAGCCUGACGGAGCAACGCCGCGUGAGUGAUGAAGGUCUUCGGAUCGUAAAACUCUGUUAUUAGGGAAGAACAAAUGUGUAAGUAACUAUGCACGUCUUGACGGUACCUAAUCAGAAAGCCACGGCUAACUACGUG
rnacentral:rRNA from 1 species